GACGAACGCUGGCGGCGUGCUUAACACAUGCAAGUCGAACGGAAAGGCCCUGCUUUUGUGGGGUGCUCGAGUGGCGAACGGGUGAGUAACACGUGAGUAACCUGCCCUUGACUUUGGGAUAACUUCAGGAAACUGGGGCUAAUACCGGAUAGGAGCUCCUGCUGCAUGGUGGGGGUUGGAAAGUUUCGGCGGUUGGGGAUGGACUCGCGGCUUAUCAGCUUGUUGGUGGGGUAGUGGCUUACCAAGGCUUUGACGGGUAGCCGGCCUGAGAGGGUGACCGGCCACAUUGGGACUGAGAUACGGCCCAGACUCCUACGGGAGGCAGCAGUGGGGAAUAUUGCACAAUGGGCGGAAGCCUGAUGCAGCAACGCCGCGUGCGGGAUGACGGCCUUCGGGUUGUAAACCGCUUUCGCCUGUGACGAAGCGUGAGUGACGGUAAUGGGUAAAGAAGCACCGGCUAACUACGUGCCAGCAGCCGCGGUGAUACGUAGGGUGCGAGCGUUGUCCGGAUUUAUUGGGCGUAAAGGGCUCGUAGGUGGUCGAUCGCGUCGGAAGUGUAAUCUUGGGGCUUAACCCUGAGCGUGCUUUCGAUACGGGUUGACUUGAGGAAGGUAGGGGAGAAUGGAAUUCCUGGUGGAGCGGUGGAAUGCGCAGAUAUCAGGAGGAACACCAGUGGCGAAGGCGGUUCUCUGGGCCUUUCCUGACGCUGAGGGGCGAAAGCGUGGGGAGCGAACAGGCUUAGAUACCCUGGUAGUCCACGCUGUAAACGGUGGGUACUAGGUGUGGGGUCCAUUCCACGGGUUCCGUGCCGUAGCUAACGCUUUAAGUACCCCGCCUGGGGAGUACGGCCGCAAGGCUAAAACUCAAAGGAAUUGACGGGGCCCCGCACAAGCGGCGGAGCAUGCGGAUUAAUUCGAUGCAACGCGUAGAACCUUACCUGGGUUUGACAUGGAUCGGGAGCGCUCAGAGAUGGGUGUGCCUCUUUUGGGGUCGGUUCACAGGUGGUGCAUGGCUGUCGUCAGCUCGUGUCGUGAGAUGUUGGGUUAAGUCCCGCAACGAGCGCAACCCUUGUUCACUGUUGCCAGCACGUUAUGGUGGGGACUCAGUGGAGACCGCCGGGGUCAACUCGGAGGAAGGUGGGGAUGACGUCAAGUCAUCAUGCCCCUUAUGUCCAGGGCUUCACGCAUGCUACAAUGGCUGGUACAGAGAGUGGCGAGCCUGUGAGGGUGAGCGAAUCUCGGAAAGCCGGUCUCAGUUCGGAUUGGGGUCUGCAACUCGACCUCAUGAAGUCGGAGUCGCUAGUAAUCGCAGAUCAGCAACGCUGCGGUGAAUACGUUCCCGGG
rnacentral:rRNA from 1 species